UACGGAGGGUGCAAGCGUUAUCCGGAUUCACUGGGUUUAAAGGGUGCGUAGGUGGGCAGGUAAGUCAGUGGUGAAAUCUCCGAGCUUAACUCGGAAACUGCCGUUGAUACUAUUUGUCUUGAAUAUUGUGGAGGUAAGCGGAAUAUGUCGUGUAGCGGUGAAAUGCUUAGAUAUGACAUAGAACACCAAUUGCGAAGGCAGCUUACUACACAACGAUUGACGCUGAGGCACGAAAGCGUGGGGAUCAAACAGG
rnacentral:rRNA from 1 species